rnacentral:siRNA from 1 species
UUCUGGAAAUUGAUGAUGAGGAAC